CAUUUUCCUUCAUUUUCUUGAAAAAAACUUGUGAGAAUUGAUCAUGAUGCUCACCAAAGUUUGGAACUUUAAGCUCAAGAGGGACUUUUGUAAUCAUGGCUUCUAUGGGAAUAACAACCUUUUCUUGAUCAUUUGAGGUUUCUUGAGAAUUUGGAUCCAAAGGGACUAAUUGAUGUGUUGUGUCAACAAAUUGAGAUGAUUUUGGAGAUGGACAAAUGAAAUAAUUCAUGUUGAAUUCAUUCUUAGAAUUAUCAGAUGAAUAUUUUCUUGAAAAUAUCAUUUUUCCAUCAUCAUCAUGGAUUUGAAGGAAUCCAUCAUCAGGAAGAAUCUCCCACUCUUCAAGAUCCAUUUUUUAAGAAAAAUAAAAAAUAAAUCUAAGGAAGAAAAGGGGCUAGAAGAGUGAGGUGAUAUAGUUUUGAGAUUUUGAUUUUUUAUUGAUGCUGAAUUAUUGGAGUAAUAAUAAAAAGGUGGG
rnacentral:misc_RNA from 1 species